UCAAGCUACAAAGGGCGCAUGGUGAAUGCCUUGGCAUCAGGAGCCGAUGAAGGACGUGAUAAGCUGCGAUAAGCUUCGGGUAGGCGCACAUAGCCAGUGAUCCGAAGAUUUCCGAAUGAGGGAACUCACAUGGGAAACCCCAUGUAUCCUGUAAUGAAUAAAUAGUUGCAGGAAGGUAAACCUAGGGAACUGAAACAUCUAAGUACCUAGAGGAAGAGAAAGAAAAAUCGAUUUUCUUAGUAGCGGCGAGCGAAAGGGAAAGAGCCCAAACCAGGGAUUUAUUUCUGGGGUUGCGGACAGAACGUACAAUAGAAAAAUUUGUAAUCGAAUACAACUGGAAAGUUGAGUCAUAGAGUGUAAUAACCACGUAGAUGAAACGAAUUAAUCUAGAGUUCUGAUCCAGAGUACCACGAGACACGUGAAACCUUGUGGGAAGCAGGGAGGACCACCUCCCAAGGCUAAAUACUACCUGAUGACCGAUAGUGAAGAAGUACCGUGAGGGAAAGGUGAAAAGAACCCCGGGAGGGGAGUGAAAUAGAACCUGAAACCGUGUGCCUACAACCGGUCAAAGCCCCUUAUGAGGGUGAUGACGUGCUUUUUGUAGAACGAGCCAACGAGUUACGGUAUGUAGCAAGGUUAAGUACUUAAGGUACGGAGCCGAAGGGAAACCGAGUCUUAAUAGGGCGACUAGUUGCAUGCCGUAGACCCGAAACCGGGUGACCUAUCCAUGGCCAGGUUGAAGCGGGGGUAAAACCCCGUGGAGGACCGAACCACGUUGCUGUUGAAAAAGCAUGGGAUGAGCUGUGGAUAGCGGAGAAAUUCCAAUCGAACUCGGAGAUAGCUGGUUCUCCUCGAAAUAGCUUUAGGGCUAGCGUCGGAUAUGAGUAAUGGAGGUAGAGCACUGAAUGGGCUAGGGGGCAUAUCGCUUACCGAACCUUAUCAAACUCCGAAUGCCAUAUACUAUUAGUCCGGCAGUCAGACUACGAAUGAUAAGAUCCGUGGUCAAAAGGGAAAAAGCCCAGAUCGUCAGCUAAGGUCCCAAAGUGUAAGUUAAGUGGUAAAGGAUGUGGGAUUUCUAAGACAACUAGGAUGUUGGCUUAGAAGCAGCCACUCAUUUAAAGAGUGCGUAAUAGCUCACUAGUCGAGAGAUCCUGCGCCGAAAAUGUCCGGGGCUCAAACUUACCACCGAAGCUACGGGCUCAAGAUUACUUGAGCGGUAGAGGAGCGUCGUAAUCGGGCUGAAGUCGUACCGUAAGGAGCGGUGGACUGAUUACGAGUGAGAAUGUUGGCAUUAGUAGCGAGAUGUAAGUGAGAAUCUUACAGGCCGAAAAUCUAAGGUUUCCUGGGGAAGGCUCGUCCGCCCAGGGUUAGUCGGGACCUAAGCCGAGGCCGAAAGGCGUAGGUGAUGGACAAUUGGUUGAUAUUCCAAUACCACUAUUAUCGUUAUUAUCGAUGGUGUGACGGAGAAGGAUAGGAUGUGCUAGCGAUUGGAAAUGCUAGUCUAAGCAUUUAGGGAGUUAAGAUAGGCAAAUCCGUCUUAACAAUCCUGAGGUGUGAUGGGGAAGGUCUUUUAGACUGAAGUAUCUGAUUCCCUGCUUCCAAGAAAAGCAUCUAGAGAGAGAAAUAGUGCCCGUACCGCAAACCGACACAGGUAGAUGAGGAGAGAAUCCUAAGGCCAUCGGAAGAAUUGCAGUUAAGGAACUAGGCAAAUUGACCCCGUAAGUUAGCGAGAAGGGGUGCCUGUGAGAGCAGGCCGCAGAGAAUAGGCCCAAGCAACUGUUUAGCAAAAACACAGGUCUCUGCUAAAGCGCAAGCUGAUGUAUAGGGGCUGACGCCUGCCCGGUGCUGGAAGGUUAAGGGGAACACUUAGCGCAAGCGAAGGUGUGAACUUAAGCCCCAGUAAACGGCGGCCGUAACUAUAACGGUCCUAAGGUAGCGAAAUUCCUUGUCAGGUAAGUUCUGACCCGCACGAAUGGCGUAAUGACUUGGGCACUGUCUCAACUGCAAAUCCGGCGAAGUUGNAUAACUA
rnacentral:rRNA from 1 species